GAUGAACGCUGGCGGCGUGCCUAAUACAUGCAAGUCGAGCGAAUGGAUUAAGAGCUUGCUCUUAUGAAGUUAGCGGCGGACGGGUGAGUAACACGUGGGUAACCUGCCCAUAAGACUGGGAUAACUCCGGGAAACCGGGGCUAAUACCGGAUAACAUUUUGAACCGCAUGGUUCGAAAUUGAAAGGCGGCUUCGGCUGUCACUUAUGGAUGGACCCGCGUCGCAUUAGCUAGUUGGUGAGGUAACGGCUCACCAAGGCAACGAUGCGUAGCCGACCUGAGAGGGUGAUCGGCUACACUGGGACUGAGACACGGCCCAGACUCCUACGGGAAGCGGCAGUAGGGAAUCUUCCGCAAUGGACGAAAGUCUGACGGAGCAACGCCGCGUGAGUGAUGAAGGCUUUCGGGUCGUAAAACUCUGUUGUUAGGGAAGAACAAGUGCUAGUUGAAUAAGCUGGCACCUUGACGGUACCUAACCAGAAAGCCACGGCUAACUACGUGCCAGCCGCCGCAGUAA
rnacentral:rRNA from 1 species